rnacentral:misc_RNA from 1 species
CCUUUUUUUUUUUUACUCUCACAACAAACAUGAGAUUAAACUCAACAAUAAAGGUCGCACGUUAUACAUCAAAAAUCUUAACACGCCUAAUGUAGUUAUGUCAACUUCAAAAAGGCACUUACAUUGCUUAAAAAGAGUCCUAGCAUUAAUAUUAUUACAUCCAACAGGUACCUCUUACAAUGACCAAGUAGAUUCAAUGCAAUUUGCCCCUCAGUAGAUUCCAGGAAUGAUUCGAUAGGGAACCUUCUCACAAUACAAUUUCCAGUACUUCCCAUACUUAGAUCGACAUCGAUCAUCAUCCCUCUUAGCUCGAUCAAAAAGGAGGAUGGUAAGAAAUAUCACAUAGAAGUAGGGCAGAAAAUGAUUAAAAAGAGCUGGGACGGUCCAGAAAAAA